AGAAGAAGAUGCAAGAAAUGGGUUACAAGGUUGGAGGUAGAGGGAGACUCGGAGAUUGUGGUGGGGUUCCUUAAGUCGGGAAUCACAAACUCACAUCCAUUCUCUUUCUUAAUACGUUUGUGCUAUGACUUUUUGUCGCGUGGCUGGAUAGUCCGCGUUUUUUCACGUGCAUAGAGAAACUAACCGCCUAACGGAUGUGUUAACUAACUAUGCUUUUUCUCUUCCCUUAGAUUUUUAUUUGUUCGAGGGUAGACCGGAUGUGGUUGUCUCUAUUGUCUUUGAUGAUGCGAACGGGUCUGCAUACCCACAUAAUGUUCGUAUUUGAUUUAGUU
rnacentral:sRNA from 1 species